rnacentral:rRNA from 1 species
UAGGGAAUCUUCCACAAUGGACGCAAGUCUGAUGGAGCAACGCCGCGUGAGUGAAGAAGGCUUUCGGGUCGUAAAACUCUGUUGUUGGAGAAGAAUGGUCGGCAGAGUAACUGUUGUCGGCGUGACGGUAUCCAACCAGAAAGCCACGGCUAACUACGUGCCAGCAGCCGCGGUAAUACGUAGGUGGCAAGCGUUAUCCGGAUUUAUUGGGCGUAAAGCGAGCGCAGGCGGUUUUUAAGUCUGAUGUGAAAGCCCUCGGCUUAACCGAGGAAGCGCAUCGGAAACUGGGAAACUUGAGUGCAGAAGAGGACAGUGGAACUCCAUGUGUAGCGGUGAAAUGCGUAGAUAUAUGGAAGAACACCAGUGGCGAAGGCGGCUGUCUGGUCUGUAACUGACGCUGAGGCUCGAAAGCAUGGGUAGCGAACAGGAUUAGAUACCCUGGUAGUCCAUGCCGUAAACGAUGAAUGCUAGGUGUUGGAGGGUUUCCGCCCUUGCAGU